AUUGAACGCUGGCGGCAGGCCUAACACAUGCAAGUCGGACGGUAACAGGAAGCAGCUUGCUGCUUUGCUGACGAGUGGCGGACGGGUGAGUAAUGUCUGGGAAACUGCCCGAUGGAGGGGGAUAACUACUGGAAACGGUAGCUAAUACCGCAUAACGUCGCAAGACCAAAGAGGGGGACCUUCGGGCCUCUUGCCAUCGGAUGUGCCCAGAUGGGAGUAGCUUGUUGGUGAGGUAACGGCUCACCAAGGCGACGAUGCGUAGCUGGUCUGAGAGGAAGAACAGCCACACUGGAACUGAGACACGGUCCAGACUCCUACGGGAGGCAGCAGUGGGGAAUAUUGCACAAUGGGCGCAAGCCUGAUGCAGCCAUGCCGCGUGUAUGAAGAAGGCCUUCGGGUUGUAAAGUACUUUCAGCGGGGAGGAAGGGGAUGUGGUUAAUAACCGCGUUCAUUGACGUUACCCGCAGAAGAAGCACCGGCUAACUCCGUGCCAGCCGCCGCGGUAAUAC
rnacentral:rRNA from 1 species